AUUUAAAUAGUUUAAUUAAAAUAUAAUAUUGAAGAUAUUAAGAUAAAUUAUUUUUUUUAAAUA
rnacentral:tRNA from 1 species